ACGAACGCUGGCGGCGUGCCUAAUACAUGCAAGUCGAACGCUUUUUCUUUCACCGGAGCUUGCUCCACCGAAAGAAAAGGAGUGGCGAACGGGUGAGUAACACGUGGGUAACCUGCCCAUCAGAAGGGGAUAACACUUGGAAACAGGUGCUAAUACCGUAUAACAAUCGAAACCGCAUGGUUUCGGUUUGAAAGGCGCUUUUGCGUCACUGAUGGAUGGACCCGCGGUGCAUUAGCUAGUUGGUGAGGUAACGGCUCACCAAGGCAACGAUGCAUAGCCGACCUGAGAGGGUGAUCGGCCACAUUGGGACUGAGACACGGCCCAAACUCCUACGGGAGGCAGCAGUAGGGAAUCUUCGGCAAUGGACGCAAGUCUGACCGAGCAACGCCGCGUGAGUGAAGAAGGUUUUCGGAUCGUAAAACUCUGUUGUUAGAGAAGAACAAGGAUGAGAGUAAAAUGUUCAUCCCUUGACGGUAUCUAACCAGAAAGCCACGGCUAACUACGUGCCAGCAGCCGCGGUAAUACGUAGGUGGCAAGCGUUGUCCGGAUUUAUUGGGCGUAAAGCGAGCGCAGGCGGUUUCUUAAGUCUGAUGUGAAAGCCCCCGGCUCAACCGGGGAGGGUCAUUGGAAACUGGGGAACUUGAGUGCAGAAGAGGAGAGUGGAAUUCCAUGUGUAGCGGUGAAAUGCGUAGAUAUAUGGAGGAACACCAGUGGCGAAGGCGGCUCUCUGGUCUGUAACUGACGCUGAGGCUCGAAAG
rnacentral:rRNA from 1 species